AUGAGCUCAGAGUCGCUAACGCAAAGAGGAAGAAGAGCUACUUCCAUCAUUCCAAUAGUAACAAGGCUGUACUCGUACUCACCGACUACACGGACUCUAUACCAAGUCAUGAGCGAUAGCGAAGCCAAGCCGCCAACUAAGCCAAUGCGCCAUCCCUAUCCCUUCCCGAUGAAGCUUCCUUUGAUUUUCAUGAAUGAGGGAGGAAGGGAAGUCGCAUGCAAGAGAAAAGAAAGCCCCUAUUUGGGCAUGAGCUCUAGUACAUUGACCUCUCGCAGACCUGAAAGUCAAGUUUUUGGCUAUUGA